GAUGAACGCUAGCGGCAGGCUUAACACAUGCAAGUCGAGGGGUAUAGGGAGCUUGCUUCCUAGAGACCGGCGCACGGGUGCGUAACGCGUAUGCAAUCUACCUUUUGCAGAGGGAUAGCCCAGAGAAAUUUGGAUUAAUACCUCAUAGUAUGUGAGAAUGGCAUCAUUUUCACAUUAAAGUCACAACGGCAAAAGAUGAGCAUGCGUCCCAUUAGCUUGUUGGUAAGGUAACGGCUUACCAAGGCAACGAUGGGGUAGGGUCCUGAGAGGGAGAUCCCCCCACACUGGUACUGAGACACGGACCAGACUCCUACGGGAGGCAGCAGUGAGGAAUAUGGACAAUGGGCGCAAGCCUGAUCCAGCCAUGCCGCGUGCAGGAUGACGGUCCUAU
rnacentral:rRNA from 1 species